rnacentral:hammerhead_ribozyme from 1 species
GUCCAGCUAACGAGUCUCAAAUAGAACGAAGCGCACGUCUUGGAU